ensembl:lncRNA
AGAGAUAAGAACUACCACUAGGUGAACAUGAGUCAGCAACCAGUUGUCCACAACUCCAUUAGCAACACAGACUAGUGAUGUCUUUAGGAUAACUUCAAGCUGUUUGUCUGAAACAAAGGACUUGCGUGGGUCUGAUAUGAAGCUUGGAAGAAAUGUGGCCAGGACGUUCUUGGACUACUACAGGCUGAAUGCCUUGGUGGAGAGACCGCUAGCACCUAUUCCUAAAACUCGGAAAGAAAAACUGCCGCUUUUUAAAUGCACUACCCAGCGGGGCCAAGGGAGCAGCCAUGUUGGCAGGAAGCCAGAGAAGAGGAGCCAGACAAAUCUCAAGGAGCCGUCUCUCUCCACAUGAUGCUAGGAGAGGAGGGCUGGUCUGCGGGGCUGAGGCGAAGGAGCACGUCUGGGUUCUGGAACUGAUAAGGUUUCUCUUUUUUCCCAGACAAGUAUUUCUAAGGUAACAAAUAGGCCAAGGGCGAAAGAGGGAGAGGGAAAUUAGCUAGAAAUUUUACUAUUGAUUCUUUUUUAUUUAUAGAUGGUAAAUCAAUUUCAGGCCCUUUUUUUUUUUUUUUUUUGGCUCAUCUCUGGGAAAAAGAGCAACCCAAUGGAUUUACAGAAAUCAUUUGCUGUGGCUGAAAAGCUAUUUGUUAAAACGAGAAAGCCUCGCCUUCCUUCACCAGCCCCUCUCUCUCUUUAAAGGGGUAAUCCAUACGGUGAGCCAACGAGGGACUCCUUGCUCCCCUGCUGCACCAUGUGUUGUCUCUCCUUUCAGUGUCAGGCUCAGAAGCUUUUAUGCCAAUUGCAUGUGCUAGUCCAGUUAGCUUGCAUUAAGAGAGCCUGAUAAAUAGCUUGUGGGAGUUAGGCAGGUGGUCCUUAGCGUGCUGUUUAUCAUCCACUGCAUGGUUAGUUUUUUGCUCUUCUAUCAAAUCAUUUGAGGAACGAGGUCAUACAAGGAAUGUUACUGAUGUCACCUGUCGUGCUGCAGGCAUGAAACUCACACCAAGACCUGUCCAACAGGCAGAAACCUUGGUCCUCUGGCAACGGCUGGCUGGGGCCCAACAGAUUUACCACUGAGGCAACGUGGGCUGGGGUAACACCAAAAGGGAUGAACCAAAAGUAUCAUGCUACUACUGCAAGAAAGCCCAGGUAAAGCCUUGCAGCCUUCUCAUUAGAUGGCCAGCACAUGAAACGUCUGCUCAAAGCCACUGUCACAAGGCAUCUCCCGGUCUUGUGUGAUUAAUAGGAAAUACCUUCCAGUGAUGUGGAUUUGAUGCUGUAGGCCAGUGGUUCUCAAACUGGAAAGCGAAAGAGGGUGACCCUGAGGGAGAGUGGGAGAGUCUCCCAGGCAAUGGGAAGGGAGAAGGCACUUAAAAGUGCCCCAGGCCCAUCAGAAAACUCUGGAAGCAAUUUCUCUUGACUUUCUUGUAGUAUGAGUUGAGCUGCAGCAGUGGCUUGGAGGAGAGAUGUGCUAAGCCCCACUGGAUGGAGAGGGAAAAGAUGAACCAGAUUGGGGGUGAAGAGAGAUGUGUGAAAUAAGACUGGAUUGGCAUCUCUUAGUGUGGGGUGGCCCUGAAGGCAUAGUAGCCCCUGACACUUAUUUCACUAGUCAGAAAGCAGGGUUGGUUGCUCUUCUGCUCUUUUCCAGGACUUGAGCCCUAUGAUCUAGGAGCAGGACAAAAUUCAGCUGGGUUCUCAAGCUGGGCUGUAUGUGAGAAGAAUGUAUCCUGGGGAGAAAUUAGGAGAUAUGAGAAGAAUUGAGAAUUACAGGCUAAAAUGGACCGUCCAGGCAACUUAAAUUUAUCAUCCUGUGUGGGAAUGCUCACAGGUUCUCCAGCAGUGGAGAACCGCUAAAUCUGGGCAUGACCAACACUGAACCGAGGUUUGAAGAACUGAAAGCAGCUCAGGUUUCAUUUAUGCAUCCAGGAAUCUAACAGACCCUUAUAUGUUCUCAUCUGUCUUUGAAUACCUUUGGCUCAUUCUCACCAUAUCUGUGUCACAAUGGAUGGAAGAGAGCUCUGCAUAAGUUCCUUUGGGCUCUUUUCAAUACUGGAGAAACACAAAGCAAGCGGAGUCAAGGAUAAGGUAUGUGUUCUGUGUGACAGGGCUACAGAAGUCUGUGGAAGGCCCUGAGACAAUACCCAGGCAGACCUCUCAGGAGCUACUCAGUUUCCAUCCAGUUAGCAUUUCUUCAAGCAGAACGAAUGGGCAGCCGCAAGUCAGGGCCUAAAUUUGGCCUUGCAUGCCUCCAAGAAAGGACCAGCUGCUAAGGAUCUGACAGAAUUUGAGCUGGCUGCAUCCAUGUGUUAGCCAGCUAUUAGCUAAGCUUUCAGUAGUUAGUUAGUUUCUCUCUAAUGGGAGGGGGGGGGGGAACUUGAUUGAAAAAAGGAAAAGCUGUCCCACUUGAAGGAGAGUGGUUUAAAACACCUUAGCAAACCUGACGUUGCCAGAAUUUCAAGGUGAGGGGGUUAAACUGUGUGUGUUUUUAUGGAAAAUGAAAUGCCUUAAUACGAUGAAUUCCAAGGCAUCUAAAAGACACAGUACUGGCUUUCUGUCUCCAAAAGCAGAGGAAUGAAUAGCAGAGACAGUGUGAUAAUUAAAAUGACCUCUUGGAGAUAUGGAUUAGAAGGUAUGCAGAAGGGGGAUAAAUUCUCUUUUGAAUUAAUCUAGUGUUAAUUUAUGACUAUCACUGGGUUUUAUAGGGUUUUAGCAGAAGACUUGCAAAGUUGUUUUACUGGGAGAAAUUUUUUUGCAUAUUCAUUGAAAAAAACACUUGCGGAAUUCUUUAUUUAUUUCUGAAUGACUUAAUAUAUACAUACACAUAUGGAGAGAGAAUUUCAGUUAUUUGCUUAGCCCCUAGGGGCUUAGCAGCUAAACUCUAGAAACCAUGAAUAAAGUGAUAAAAGUAGCUGCGUGUUGUCUCA